CGUAAAUGGUCGCGUUUUGGACGGUUAUUGGCCAUUACCGACCAAAGUUGGUCGGUUUUUUUGGUCGGUUUUUACCGGAUUUGUAGUAAUGCAUGCGAGACUCAUUUAUCUUAUCAGAUGGUUUAGUGUAUAGAUGGACAAUUUUGAUUGGCUUGAUGUUGCUGAUGUUCCAUUUUUCUUUUUCCUCCUAUUUUCUCAUAAGGAUUCAUGUACCUAAUCUUUGAUUGGCUUAGAGUAAAUCAUUUCAAUCUUCUCCUGGAAGAAUACAUAAUUUGAGCUAACUGAUGCAAAACCUGCUAUUAAACCACCAAAUGAUGUCUUUUUGAAAUGGAAUGGAAUGGACCCUUUUCUGGCAAUGGAAAUGGUGUCUUUUUUUCUUUUGAGAUUAUUGUUUUCCUUUUGCCUUUCUUCUCAUUCUUAAAAUUCCUAUAUUUAAUCUGUUGAUUAUGUAAUCACCUAUUCACCCCACUUGCGGGAUUAUAUAUGUAAUCAACCUAUUCAAUCUUAAGGAAAAAGAAAAUGUUAACAUUGGAUGGCUUCAAGUAAGGGAUACGGUUCAUAUAAGUGAAAGAUCUUAGAUAAACUGCAAAUAUGAAUAAGAAUUAGUAAAUCGAACCCUUACGUAGACAAAUUUAUACCAAAUGUUCAGCGCCCGAAAUGAAUACAUAGAGGUGUUUCUUGUUGUUCUCUUCUUUCUUGGUCAUAAAGAAAAUAAGCAAGCUCAUUUAUUUUAUUCUACUAAUAAGGCCCCAGCCUCCACAGUAUCUACAUCUCCCACUUUUUGUCCUAUUAUCUGCAAUAGAAAAAAAUUGAAUGACAUUGAGCAGAGGGUCUAGUGGAAACAACCUCUCUACUUGCACAAGGUAGGGAUAAGGUCUGUGUACUCAUUGCCCUCCCCAGACCCCACUUAUGGGAUUACACUGGAUUGUUGUUAUUGUUGUUUUAUGGGAUUGUUGCUAUUGAAGUGUGUGUAUCUUAUCGUGUAAAAACUUCAAUUUAAUAGUUUUGCAUUUGCAACACUCCCUCUGUUUUUUUUUCUUGAUCGGUGAUGGUGAGGCUCGAAACCAGAACUUCAGUCUAUUCUGAUAUGCUCUAAUAUCAUACUGAAGUGUAUGAACUAUCUAAUCUACGAUGUUAUCUGAAUUGUAUGGACGGCUAGUUUAAAAGUUUAAACUGUUAGAGAAGGGAUACUCUUUUUUAUUAAUUUUUAGGUCUACUACAAUAGCAGAAAAUUGUUAAAAAGUGUCACAAAAAUGAUGAGUGUGCCAUGAUAGCUGGUUGAGUAAUGUACGAAAAACUCUGAAUGAUAUUGCAAUACUGAAAAAGCCUCAUUUGAAUUGCUCUCGCCUGAGUUUGUUAUUUUAUUUUGAGAGAUAUUUAAAGAAUGUAUUUAACUAGUUCGAUAUCCAGCUGGCUUCAAACAGUUUCGGCUUCCAUAGCCUUGCAGCCUAUUCUUUUGUAUUUGCUUCCCCUGGGCACCGGUCUUGGUAACAUUAAUAGGUGCUUGGGAGGAUAGAAUCCUGUUUUGAGCUGAGCCUCUAUUGCCAAAGAAAAAAGGGAAAAAGAAGUAGAAGAACUACCGACCAAAAGGAAAAAAAAGGAUUAACUUUUGAGGUUCAUUAUACUAUUGGAACAAAAGUUGCGUUAUUGUUUAGCCUGUGAGAAUUCUUACAGAUGUGAUUGUUAUGGGUUCUGGAAUAGUGGUAAGGGCCUUUGCUCAGGCAUGUCAUCAGGCACUUGCAAAUUCCUCAAAGAACCAGUGCCGCCCAUGAAGCAAUACACAAUAUAAAUGAGCAAGCAAAAAAUCAGAGGCUACACAAAUUCUUGGUUUGCGGAGCAUUCAUCAUGGGAGGACGCGUUGCAGGUUUUUCUCAUUGCGAUUGCUGUUUUUGUUUUUUGUGUUGGAGCGCAUUGCACUUGAAUUCUUCUCUUUAUCUAUAUUUUCGCCA